UACGUAGGGUGCAAGCGUUGUCCGGAAUUAUUGGGCGUAAAGAGCGUGUAGGCGGUUCGGUAAGUCUGCUGUGAAAGUCGGGGGCUCAACCCUCGAAUGCCGGUGGAUACUGUCGGACUAGAGUGCGGAAGAGGCGAGUGGAAUUCCUGGUGUAGCGGUGAAAUGCGCAGAUAUCAGGAGGAACACCAAUGGCGAAGGCAGCUCGCUGGAACGGUACUGACGCUGAGGCGCGAAAGCGUGGGGAGCGAACAGG
rnacentral:rRNA from 1 species